GCUCCUGGGCGCCCCACCUGCGCAUGCUCCUCAGCCUCGCGUCCACCUACGAGCACCUUGGACCCAGGCAAACUCCUUGAAUGAAACUCCAGAUCCGGUGCUGAUUCUCCAAAACUGAGGGAACCUGUGUUAUGAUGCCUUUUUUCUCUUUGGCUUCCACCGCUUUGUGUAAAGACCUCUGGAGACAGUACCACUCCUCGCCACCCUGCCUGCAGUGCUAGUUUUUGUGCCCUACAGAUCUUGGUUGGAAUCCCAGUCCUGUCCCUUACUGUGUGUCCUUGGGCAUGUGACUUUCUCUUGUUGGGCCUUAGUCUUUGCCUCUGUAAAAUAGGGAUAAUAAAAGCAUCUCAUAAAGCUGUCAUAAAGAGGAAACAAGAUAAUGCAAAUAAAAGGCUUAGCAUAGUUCCUG